rnacentral:rRNA from 1 species
UACAGAGGUCUCAAGCGUUGUUCGGAUUCAUUGGGCGUAAAGGGUGCGUAGGUGGCGCCGUAAGUCAGGUGUGAAAUUUCGGAGCUUAACUCCGAAACUGCAUUUGAUACUGCGGUGCUUGAGGACUGGAGAGGAGACUGGAAUUUACGGUGUAGCAGUGAAACGCGUAGAGAUCGUAAGGAAGACCAGUGGCGAAGGCGGGUCUCUGGACAGUUCCUGACACUGAGGCACGAAGGCCAGGGGAGCAAACGGG